UCUCCGUUGGUGAACCAGCGGAGGGGUCAUUACAGAGUCGCAAAACUCCCAAACCAUUGUGAACGUUACCUAUCCCGUUGCUUCGGCGGGCGGCCCGGGCCCCGCGCCCGGCGCCCCCCGGCCCCCCGUGGGCGCCCGCCGGAGGUAAACCAAACCCUUGAAUUGCAUGGCCUCUCUGAGUCUUCUGUACUGAAUAAGUCAAAACUUUCAACAACGGAUCUCUUGGUUCUG
rnacentral:misc_RNA from 1 species